UCUUAUUAGGUUUUUUUCCAUACAUGUGCUCUUAUAUUCUCAAAUAUGUUACAAGCCCAUGUGAUCAAAAUGAAUCAGCCACAAUCACAAUUGAAAAGGAAAAAAAAGCAUAUAUCUGAGUCUUUUUAGUAUUUCAUCAUUAAUAAUAUAAACUGACUUUCAAAAUGCAUCAUCAUGAUGAUAAAUUACCAGGCUUCUCCUCGUUUUCUGAGGGGACAUUAUUGGGUUCCUCUUCUGCGUUCCUACUCUCGGGUUGUUCACUACUAGGAAUUUCCCCAUUUUCCUUCUUAGGUGCGUCGCCAUUUUCUGAUGUACUGUUGGCCUCUGAAUUACCAACUGGUUUUGGAACUUCUCUGGAGGAUCCUGAAGAGGUUGCCAAUAAUCGGCUAAUUCCAUCGAAUAGAGUUGUGGCAUCGGCUAUAAGAGCAGCUCCACCCGGAUAACAACGACCAAAACAAGUAACACUGUGUGGGAAAGCAACCUCAAUAAAUGCUCGACAUAGUGAUAGGAAAAGGAGAGAUUCAUUUUCCCGAAGCAUGCGCGUAGUGUUAUAUCUCAGUAAAGCAUCAGAAACACCCUGCAAUCCUUUAACCAGUUCUUGUGCAAGCACAUGUUUUAAACUCAAGGGAGCGCAAGGUCGUAACUCAUUCAUUGCCACAGAGACACCAUUAACAAAGACAGCCAGAGGUGGGUGCUCCAUUAGACUUGAGGGAGGAGUAACAUCUUCAUGACUUUCUUCACUCAAACUGCUGGUAGGAAAGCCGACUGCUGGUAAUGGAACCCAGCGAUGAGAAUCAAGGACCAACUGGAAAUUCUCAACAGCUGCAUUCAUGUUCUUUGAAAACAGAUUUAGGACCACCUCUUCAAAAAGAGGGGGAAGCAAGCCGCGGAAGUCCAAUCCAACCCAACCAAGGCCCAUAGCACAAUACAUGCAUUGAUCAAGAAUGUUUGAUAAAGAACCUCCUUCAGUGAUCUUCGGUAGCAUCAUCUUUAAAGUUCUAAGGUGGGAAGAAAUUUGAUGCAUGGCCCAACUGAAGAGAAGCCCACCAUCAUAGUUUUCUUCCCUUCCGGAAGUAUCAUCAGCAAAUAUCGCACGGUACUGGUUAACAACAUCAAAGAGAUGCAUCCGAUGACAAUUUACCAUCCCUUUGAGGUAUUCAUAAGCAUUUCUCUGGUCCAAGUCAUCAAGGAUCCCAGAAAGCCAUGCCUGACGGCACCUUAGAAACUGUAAGCGCAUCUCAUACUCAUUGAACACCCCUAUACGACGCAAGUAUCCAAUGAUACGCAGGCAUUCUGGCAACUGAAUGUUUGACCUAAGUCUUUGGAGAAGCUGAGAAAGAAGAGAUUGGGUGGUCUGCCGGACUUCUGCAGCAAGGGCUUGAAUGACUGGUAACUUGGGGUGCAUUGCUGAAAGCUUGGAAACAAAUGCUUCUAAAUCAAGAGCUUCAUCAUAGUUUCCAUUUCUCACACAUGUGUCCAUUAGCUGAGGAAUUUCAAGCAAGUCAAGCAGAGUACUAUGGUUUGCAAGCAAUGUUUGAUUCAUCUUCCUUUUCUCCAAGAUAUGUUCUGCAGAGGUGCUGAACUCACUGCAACCUGAAGUUAGCUUAGGUAUCUCAUUGAGCAAGGAGUCAAGAUGCUUAUCAACAGAAGAAACUUCUUCCCGAAUCGCAUGUAGUGCAUCAGCAGCAGAAAUGAAGGCACGGUAGUUUCCAACGGCAACCUCUUGCAUCUGCCUCCGAAUUCUCUCCGCAUCCACUCUCAGAAGCUCCGGUUCUUUGUGAAGACGAUCGAGAGUGAAAGAAAGGAGUUCGGAGAUGUAAGGUUGUUGUGCAGCCGACGCCAGUGGGAGAAGUCCGGUGACCGGUGAAGCUUCGUCCAUCGGAUCUUCGGAAUCCAUCGACAUUGCUGAGACGAAGCCGAGAAUGUAUGAGAUCUGGAAUUUCAGGGAGGAUCUACUGUUAAGUCGCGGGUGCCG
rnacentral:misc_RNA from 1 species